CGCAUCUGUGCAUGCAGCAUAUCAAUAAGCGGAGGAAAAGAAAUUAACAAGGAUUCCCCUAGUAACGGCGAGUGAAGCGGGAAGAGCUCAAAUUUGAAAUCUUAAAGGGUUUCCCUUUACGAAUUGUAGUUUAAAGAAGUGUUUUCUGUUGAGGUUUUGGUAAAAGUUCUUUGGAAUAGGACAUCAUAGAGGGUGAGAAUCCCGUAUUUGACCUUUACUUUCAACUUUGUGAUACACUUUCAAAGAGUCGGAUUGUUUGGGAAUGCAGUCCAAAAUGGGUGGUAAAUUUCAUCUAAAGCUAAAUAUUGGCGAGAGACCGAUAGCGAACAAGUACCGUGAGGGAAAGAUGAAAAGAACUUUGAAAAGAGAGUUAAACAGUACGUGAAAUUGUCAAAAGGGAAGCGUUUGACACCAGUGUUGUUUUUCUGAAAAUCAAUUAAAGAACUGUUUAUGCUAAGUUGUUUAGACUUUAUCAGCUAUCUGCUUAGUUUUGAGCUUUUCUUUAAUGCACUUUUCAGUUAACAAGUCAACAUCAAUUUCUUUUGCUGUAAAAAAGCUUGAGGAAGGUGGCUUGAGAUUCGUCUUAAGUGUUUAUAGCCUCUUGCCUAUGCAGUCGGAGAGAUUGAGGUCUGCAGCGUAGAUCCUUCGGGGCUAAAUGCAUAUGUGCUAAGUUAUAGCAUUUUAUAGACAACUUGUUGACUAUGAUUUGUCUUGUAGCUUACUCGCUUAUGUUAUUUUACCUACGCUUAGGAUGUUGAAGAUGUAGCACAUCAU
rnacentral:rRNA from 1 species